UCUCUUAUCGUAUAACGGAAAGUACACAUGGAAAUGAUGCAUGAUGCCGGUGAAAAAUCCUGUUGUACUCAUUCCCCAUGAUAUUCGGGUUCGAAUCCCGGUGAGAGAC